GAUGAACGCUAGCGGCAGGCCUAACACAUGCAAGUCGAGGGGCAGCACAGAAACAGCAAUGUUUUGGUGGCGACCGGCGGACGGGUGCGUAACGCGUAUGCAACCUACCUUUAACAGGGGGAUAACGGAGAGAAAUUUCCACUAAUACCCCAUAACAUCGAUCAAGGCAUCUUGAUUGGUUGAAAACUCCGGUGGUUAAAGAUGGGCAUGCGUUGUAUUAGGUAGUUGGUGAGGUAAUGGCUCACCAAGCCUACGAUACAUAGGGGGACUGAGAGGUUAGCCCCCCACACUGGUACUGAGACACGGACCAGACUCCUAGAGGAGGCAGCAGUGAGGAAUAUUGGUCAAUGGGGGCAACCCUGAACCAGCCAUGCCGGGUGCAGGAAGACGGCUCUAUGAGUUGUAAACUGCUUUUAAACAGGGAUAAAGCACAGUAUGUAUACUGUGUUGAAGGUACUGUAAGAAUAAGGAUCGGCUAACUCCGUGCCAGCCGCCGCGGUAA
rnacentral:rRNA from 1 species